UGAGGAAUAUUGGUCAAUGGGUGCAAGCCUGAACCAGCCAUCCCGCGUGAAGGACGACUGCCCUAUGGGUUGUAAACUUCUUUUGUAUAGGGAUAAACCUACCCUCGUGAGGGUAGCUGAAGGUACUAUACGAAUAAGCACCGGCUAACUCCGUGCCAGCAGCCGCGGUAAUACGGAGGGUGCAAGCGUUAUCCGGAUUUAUUGGGUUUAAAGGGUCCGUAGGCGGACUUAUAAGUCAGUGGUGAAAGCCUGUCGCUUAACGAUAGAACGGCCAUUGAUACUGUAAGUCUUGAGUAUAUUUGAGGGAGCUGGAAUAAGUAGUGUUGCGGUGAAAUGCAUAGAUAUUACUUAGAACACCAAUUGCGAAGGCAGGUUACCAAGAUAUAACUGACGCUGAGGGACGAAAGCGUGGGGAGCGAACA
rnacentral:rRNA from 1 species